AUUGGACGCUGGCGGCAUGCCUUACUCAUGCAAGUCGAACGGUAACAGGUCUUCGGAUGCUGACGAGUGGCGAACGGGUGAGUAAUACAUUGGAACGUGCCUAGUAGUGGGGGAUAACUACUCGAAAGAGUGGCUAAUACCGCAUGAGAUCUACGGAUGAAAGCAGGGGAUCGCAAGACCUUGUGCUACUAGAGCGGCCGAUGGCAGAUUAGGUAGUUGGUGGGAUAAAAGCUCACCAAGCCGACGAUCUGUAGCUGGUCUGAGAGGACGAUCAGCCCAACUGGGAAUAGGACACGGCCCAGACUCCUACGGGAGGCAGCAGUGGGAAUUUUGGACAAUGGGCGCAAGCCUGAUCCAGCAAUGCCGCGUGCAGGAUGAAGGCCUUCGGGUUGUAAACUGCUUUUGUACGGAACGAAAAGCCCCGGGUUAAUACCCUGGGGUCAUGACGGUACCGUAAGAAUAAGCACCGGCUAACUACGUGCCAGCCGCCGCAGUAA
rnacentral:rRNA from 1 species